GAUGAACGCUAGCGGCAGGCUUAAUACAUGCAAGUCGUGGGGCAGCAUGGUGUGUAGCAAUACGCACUGAUGGCGACCGGCAAACGGGUGCGGAACACGUACGCAACUUACCCUUAAGUGGGGGAUAGCCCGGGGAAACCCGGAUUAAUACCUCGUAACACUGUGAAGUGGCAUCACUCGAUUAGUAUAGCUCCGGCGGUUUUGGAUGGGCGUGCGCCUGAUUAGGUAGUUGGUUGAGGUAACGGCUCACCAAGCCUACGAUCAGUAACUGGUGUGAGAGCACGACAAGUCACACGGGCACUGAGACACGGGCCCGACACCUACGGGAGGCAGCAGUAAGGAAUAUUGGUAAAUGGACGCAAGUCUGAACCAGCCAUGCCGCGUGAAGGAUGAAGGUCCUCUGGAUUGUAAACUUCUUUUAUAGGGGAAGAAACCUCUUGAUUCUUCGAGAGUUGACGGUACCCUAGGAAUAAGCACCGGCUAACUCCGUGCCAGCCGCCGCGGUAAUAC
rnacentral:rRNA from 1 species